rnacentral:rRNA from 1 species
AACGAACGCUGGCGGCGUGCCUAACACAUGCAAGUCGAGCGCGAAUGGAGCAAUCCUAGUAGAGCGGCGCACGGGUGCGUAACACGUGGGUAAUCUGCCCUGAAGCCCGGGAUAACCUGCCGAAAGGCAAGCUAAUACCGGAUAAGCCUACGGUCCCCUCGGGGACUGAAGGAAAAGGUGGCCUCUGCAUGCAAGCUAUCACUUCCGGCUGAGCCCGCGGCCCAUCAGCCCGUUGGCGGGGUAACGGCCCACCAAGGCGACGACGGGUAGCUGGUCUGAGAGGACGAUCAGCCACACUGGAACUGAGACACGGUCCAGACUCCUACGGGAGGCAGCAGUGGGGAAUUUUGCGCAAUGGGCGAAAGCCUGACGCAGCAACGCCGCGUGUGUGAUGAAGGUCUUCGGAUUGUAAAGCACUUUCGACCGGGACGAAAACCUGCUGGCCAAUAUCCAGCAGCUUGACGGUACCGGGAGAAGAAGCACCGGCUAACUCUGUGCCAGCCGCCCCGUAACAC